GUCUACCACAAUGGACAUGUCAUGAGAAGGCUUUCAUUUGAUGCCGGAACAUCUGACGUAGACUGUGGUCUGUGUUGGAUGUUGCUGUUCAGUCUGUGUCCUGUGUCUGUUCUCCUUUCCUCCCUCCUUUCCUCCGUCUGUUUCUACUCCUUCUGCAGAACAACAGCUCCAACUGAGACUCAGGGGAGGUGACAGCAGAGAGCAGACUGCUGUCAAAGUGGGUGUUGUAGUUUUAUUUUAAGAAGUCAUCUUAAUUUGUAGUCCAUGCGUUUGGUAACCCUGCCUUAUUGAAAUAGUAUUUUCAAUGGUAGAUAGACACAUAAAAAACAGAAGACAAAAAGCAACAAUACAUAAUGUCAAAUCCUAAUGUGUGAUGAUAUAUCAUUACAAUUAACAGCUUAUUAAUAAUCUCUCUCUCUCACACUCAGUCACUCACUCACUUCAGUACCUACACAGCCAGAAGACCUAUACAAAUGUAGCUGGUAUGACGACAGUGUUGAUAUUUUUAAGUUACUUAAUUUUGAAAUAAUUUAAUACCAGUGAUAUUUUUUCCAACUUUUGUAUGUAACCUUUUAAUAAUAAUAACAAUAGUGAUUUAGAAAAUGUUUUAAAGCUCAGCGAAUAAUGGUUAAAUAUCUCUUGUUAUUGUAACGGUUGUUGCAAGGAGAGGACCAAGGUGCAGCGUGGUAGGUGUUCAUCAUGUUUAUUAGUUCUGAGCAAUGAAUCAAAAACAAAAUGGAACAAAGCGCAACAAAUCUGUCAGGUGAAAAACACAAUACAGAAAACAACUACCCACAAAAACCCUGUGGGAAAAGGCUACCUAAGUAUGGCUCCCAAUCAGAGACAACAAUAGACAGCUGUCCCUGAUUGAGAACCAUACCCAGCCAAAACAAAGAAAUACACAAAACAUAGAAAA
rnacentral:lncRNA from 1 species